rnacentral:SRP_RNA from 2 species
GGGCGGGCCCGGCGCGGCGGAGCCUUUCGAACCCCGCCAGGGUCGAAAGACAGCAACGGUAAGGAUGUGUCUCCGGGUGCCGCCGAUCUCCCGCCCGGA